rnacentral:rRNA from 1 species
UACGUAGGGGGCAAGCGUUGUCCGGAUUUAUUGGGCGUAAAGAGCGUGUAGGCGGCCAUACAGGUCAGCUGUGAAAACUCGAGGCUCAACCUCGAGACGUCGGUUGAAACCGUAUGGCUAGAGUCCGGAAGAGGAGAGUGGAAUUCCCGGUAUAGCGGUGAAAUGCGCAGAUAUCGGGAAGAACACCCGUGGCGAAGGCGGCUCUCUGGGACGGUACUGACGCUGAGACGCGAAAGCGUGGGGAGCGAACAGG